GCAUGGGUAGUUCAGUGGUAGAAUUCUCGACUUCCAUGCGGGAGAACCAGGUUUGGUUCCCGGCCAAUACA
rnacentral:tRNA from 1 species